AUUGAACGCUGGCGGCAGGCUUAACACAUGCAAGUCGAGCGCGAAAGGUUUUCGGACUGAGUAAAGCGGCGGACGGGUGAGUAACGCGUGGGAAUCUGCCCAGUAGUGGGGGACAACAGCCGGAAACGGCUGCUAAUACCGCAUACGCCCUACGGGGGAAAGGGGGGGAUCUUCGGACCUCUCGCUAUUGGUUGAGCCCGCGUCGGAUUAGCUAGUUGGUAGGGUAAAGGCCUACCAAGGCUACGAUCCGUAACUGGUCUGAGAGGAUGAUCAGUCAAACUGGAACUGAGACACGGGCCAGAGUCCUACGGGAGGCAGCAGUGGGGAAUAUUGGGCAAUGGGCGCAAGCCUGAUCCAGCCAUGCCGCGUGUGUGAAGAAGGCCUUAGGGUUGUAAAGCACUUUCGGUGGGGAGAAAGGUUUGUCACCUAAUACGUGAUGAGAUUGAUGUUACCCACAGAAGAAGCACCGGCUAACUCUGUGCCAGCGGCCGCAGUAAUAC
rnacentral:rRNA from 1 species